GGGUUGUGAGGUUAAGCGACUAAGCGUACACGGUGGAUGCCUAGGCAGUCAGAGGCGAUGAAGGGCGUGCUAAUCUGCGAUAAGCGUCGGUAAGCUGAUAUGAAGCGUUAUACCCGACGAUACCCGAAUGGGGAAACCCAGUGUGUUUCGACACACUAUCAUGACAUGAAUACAUAGUGUCAUGAGGCGAACCGGGGGAACUGAAACAUCUCAGUACCCCGAGGAAAAGAAAUCAACCGAGAUUCCCCCAGUAGCGGCGAGCGAACGGGGAGGAGCCCAGAACCUGAAUCAGUUUGUGUGUUAGUGGAAGCGUCUGGAAAGUCGCACAGUAAAGGGUGAUAGUCCCGUACACAAAAAUGCACAGAUUGUGAGUUCGAUGAGUAGGGCGGGACACGUGACAUCCUGUCUGAAUAUGGGGGGACCAUCCUCCAAGGCUAAAUACUCCUGACUGACCGAUAGUGAACCAGUACCGUGAGGGAAAGGCGAAAAGAACCCCGGCGAGGGGAGUGAAAUAGAACCUGAAACCGUGUACGUACAAGCAGUGGGAGCCUACUUGUUAGGUGACUGCGUACCUUUUGUAUAAUGGGUCAGCGACUUAUAUUCUGUAGCAAGGUUAACCGUAUAGGGGAGCCGCAGGGAAACCGAGUCUUAACUGGGCGUUAAGUUGCAGGGUAUAGACCCGAAACCCGGUGAUCUAGCCAUGGGCAGGUUGAAGGUUGGGUAACACUAACUGGAGGACCGAACCGACUAAUGUUGAAAAAUUAGCGGAUGACUUGUGGCUGGGGGUGAAAGGCCAAUCAAACCGGGAGAUAGCUGGUUCUCCCCGAAAGCUAUUUAGGUAGCGCCUCGUGAAUUCAUCUUCGGGGGUAGAGCACUGUUUCGGCUAGGGGGUCAUCCCGACUUACCAACCCGAUGCAAACUACGAAUACCGAAGAAUGUUAUCACGGGAGACACACGGCGGGUGCUAACGUUCGUCGUGAAGAGGGAAACAACCCAGACCGCCAGCUAAGGUCCCAAAGUCAUGGUUAAGUGGGAAACGAUGUGGGAAGGCAUAGACAGCCAGGAUGUUGGCUUAGAAGCAGCCAUCAUUUAAAGAAAGCGUAAUAGCUCACUGGUCGAGUCGGCCUGCGCGGAAGAUGUAACGGGGCUAAACCAUGCACCGAAGCUGCGGCAGCGACACUUAGGUGUUGUUGGGUAGGGGAGCGUUCUGUAAGCCUGCGAAGGUGGCCUGUGAGGGCUGCUGGAGGUAUCAGAAGUGCGAAUGCUGACAUAAGUAACGAUAAUGCGGGUGAAAAACCCGCACGCCGGAAGACCAAGGGUUCCUGUCCAACGUUAAUCGGGGCAGGGUGAGUCGACCCCUAAGGCGAGGCUGAAAAGCGUAGUCGAUGGGAAACAGGUUAAUAUUCCUGUACUCGGUGUUACUGCGAAGGGGGGACGGAGAAAGCUAGGUUAUCCGGGCGACGGUUGUCCCGGUUUAAGCGUGAAGGUGGAUGACUUUGGUAAAUCCGGGUCAUCGUUAACACUGAGGCGUGAUGACGAGUCACUACGGUGAUGAAGUAACCGAUGCUACGCUUCCAGGAAAAGCCUCUAAGCUCCAGGUAACAUCAAAUCGUACCCCAAACCGACACAGGUGGUCAGGUAGAGAAUACUCAGGCGCUUGAGAGAACUCGGGUGAAGGAACUAGGCAAAAUGGUGCCGUAACUUCGGGAGAAGGCACGCUGAUGGUAGGUGAAGUGACUUGCUCAUGGAGCUGAAAUCAGUCGAAGAUACCAGCUGGCUGCAACUGUUUAAUAAAAACACAGCACUGUGCAAACACGAAAGUGGACGUAUACGGUGUGACGCCUGCCCGGUGCCGGAAGGUUAAUUGAUGGGGUCAGCCGCAAGGCGAAGCUCUUGAUCGAAGCCCCGGUAAACGGCGGCCGUAACUAUAACGGUCCUAAGGUAGCGAAAUUCCUUGUCGGGUAAGUUCCGACCUGCACGAAUGGCGUAAUGAUGGCCAGGCUGUCUCCACCCGAGACUCAGUGAAAUUGAACUCGCUGUGAAGAUGCAGUGUACCCGCGGCAAGACGGAAAGACCCCGUGAACCUUUACUAUAGCUUGACACUGAACCUUGAGCCUUGAUGUGUAGGAUAGGUGGGAGGCUUUGAAGCGUGGACGCCAGUCUGCGUGGAGCCAACCUUGAAAUACCACCCUUUAAUGUUUGAUGUUCUAACGUGGACCCGUAAUCCGGGUUGCGGACAGUGUCUGGUGGGUAGUUUGACUGGGGCGGUCUCCUCCCAAAGCGUAACGGAGGAGCACGAAGGUUAGCUAAUCCUGGUCGGACAUCAGGAGGUUAGUGCAAAGGCAUAAGCUAGCUUGACUGCGAGAGUGACAGCUCGAGCAGGUGCGAAAGCAGGUCUUAGUGAUCCGGUGGUUCUGAAUGGAAGGGCCAUCGCUCAACGGAUAAAAGGUACUCCGGGGAUAACAGGCUGAUACCGCCCAAGAGUUCAUAUCGACGGCGGUGUUUGGCACCUCGAUGUCGGCUCAUCACAUCCUGGGGCUGAAGUAGGUCCCAAGGGUAUGGCUGUUCGCCAUUUAAAGUGGUACGCGAGCUGGGUUUAGAACGUCGUGAGACAGUUCGGUCCCUAUCUGCCGUGGGCGUUGGAAGAUUGAGAGGGGUUGCUCCUAGUACGAGAGGACCGGAGUGAACGCACCACUGGUGUACGGGUUGUGAUGCCAAUUGCAUUGCCCGGUAGCUAAGUGCGGAAGAGAUAACCGCUGAAAGCAUCUAAGCGGGAAACUUGCCUCGAGAUGAGUCUUCCCUGGACACUUGAUGUCCCUGAAGGGCCGUUGAAGACGACGACGUAGAUAGGCUGGGUGUGUAAGCGUAGCGAUACGUUGAGCUAACCAGUACUAAUGACCCGAGAGGCUUAACCUUACAACACCGAAGGUGUUU
rnacentral:rRNA from 1 species